GAUGAACGCUGGCGGCGUGCCUAAUACAUGCAAGUCGAGCGAACGGACGAGAAGCUUGCUUCUCUGAUGUUAGCGGCGGACGGGUGAGUAACACGUGGAUAACCUACCUAUAAGACUGGGAUAACUUCGGGAAACCGGAGCUAAUACCGGAUAAUAUUUUGAACCGCAUGGUUCAAGAGUGAAAGACGGUCUUGCUGUCACUUAUAGAUGGAUCCGCGCUGCAUUAGCUAGUUGGAAAGGUAACGGCUUACCAAGGCAACGAUGCAUAGCCGACCUGAGAGGGUGAUCGGCCACACUGGAACUGAGACACGGUCCAGACUCCUACGGGAGGCAGCAGUAGGGAAUCUUCCGCAAUGGGCGAAAGCCUGACGGAGCAACGCCGCGUGAGUGAUGAAGGUCUUCGGAUCGUAAAACUCUGUUAUUAGGGAAGAACAUAUGUGUAAGUAACUGUGCACAUCUUGACGGUACCUAAUCAGAAAGCCACGGCUAACUACGUG
rnacentral:rRNA from 1 species